ensembl:lncRNA
CAUUAUUUUGCCCCGUUUCUUUGGGGAAAGUUGAGGCUCCCAAGCAGAAUCAGACAGAACUCUGAAGCGUCUCUGCUGUUCAGGCAGUGGUGAAGUGUGGUGCAGUUUGGGUCACCAGGUCCUCCAUCCAUGGGCAAGCUGUGACCCCAGAAACCUGCUGCUUUGUUUGGUGGCUGUGAGGAGAAUGCUGCGUCUUCUGGGAAGAGUUGCUUUGGGAAUGACCAGGCCAGGGGGGCUGGAUGUGUGUGUUGCACCAGACCAGAAUAAGGAAAUGUUUUUUUACAACAAGCAGGUGACAUGCAAGCAGCACAGCGAACAGCAACGCCUAAAUCAAAGCAACCCGAAGAGAAAAUCUGGGAAGGCUCAGCAACAAAGGCAUUACCUGCUCCUCACCUCCAACGUCAUUAAUCGCCCCAAACCAGGACAGCCGAUCCCUGUGUCGUUUGACAAUCACUGCUUCUCUUCCCCCAUCACCGAGAUUUGUCAGCUCCACGGAACGCCCAAGGCACGAGGGUUGCUCGUCGUGCCCAGAAAGGGCGCCCUGCUCCCUCCACUUUCUGAGCGAGAGCUUUCUGCUUUGCGGUUCCAUUUCAUUAUAUUUUUCACUCUUGGACUUCACCCUCUCUGAUCGCUCCUGCUCUCUCCUUGCCCCGCGCUCGGCCGCCGUUACGGGUGGUGGCCCCGCAGCGAGCAGAGCGCACCGCAGCGUCCCAUUCCAGUGGUGCCGCGUCCUCCUGAGCCUCUGCACCUCGAUCC